CAUAUCACUGACUGUAAGUCGCUUUGGAUAAAAGCAUCUGCUAAAUGGUAUUAC
rfam:Salmo salar isolate Sally breed double haploid chromosome ssa20, whole genome shotgun sequence.